GAAUCUGAAUCAAAUCUUUUCAGCUGAAUGAGUCGGCUAGGAUAGACUUGGAUAUGGCGAAAGCGGUUGAAGAGGGGCAUGCCAUUGAAGGGAGGGGAUGAGAUUGGAGUACAGCUCUAGAUUGUUUUAGUAAUCUAAAUUGUCUUAUGUUGCUCUGCCAUGUGUUCUGAUUUUUAUGCUUGCCGUCCUUGUACAUCCUUCUUCGAAUAAGAAAAGAUAGUGAAGAAUACACAGGAGUCCUUCCAAAUCCAUAAUGGGCUGGUGCUUAUUUUGUUUGCAUGGAUUGAUAGAAUAUCUAAUUGCCUUGUACUUUAUCUUUUAAAAAAUUUUCUGUUAAUGUUUGUUAAGUUUCCUAUGAUUAUCGUUUAUUUCAAACUGGGAUGGUCAACAUAGAUCAGCAGGUUAUAGAUAAAUAUUAGGACAAUGUUUUUCCUUGAUAAUAAAGUCCACAAAAACCCUAUUCAUCUAAGCAGACUAUAACAACUAUCUAUCCAUCUCAGCCUGUUAAUCUCCAAGGGAACAUAGGGUUAAUCAAUUAUUGUGUAUGCCAUUUUGCACUGAUAUUGAUAUUAUUAGCUUCUCUGUGCAGUUUUUCAGGCAUCCUACUUUUCUUUUGCUGCUUUUUUUUUUUCAUUUUUUGAUUUUUGCUUUUUGGGUGAAGAACUGUUUGUUAAAAAUCAUAUUACUUCUCUGAUUCGCAGAUUGCUAUGACCCCUUGGAUCCAAAUGGUAAUGUGACAGCUACCUUCGGUAUUCUCCAAUGGAUGGUUGAUGGCUAUGUGUUUCUAAUUCCAUCUAGAUAAGUCUACAAACCUCUUGGGUAGAACUCACCUUUGAAAAGAGGCAUGCAAGAGGAGGAUACUCAAGAGGCAACCGACGUCCUAGUGGCCCAUCAUUCCCAGCUAGGUGACCCUAUCUCUUAGAAGUUACAACCCUGCACAGGUUGCUCCAUCUGUGACUCGACCACUGAGUAGCAACCCAUGUGAUCCCAUACUCAACGUGGUGGCUAGCUCUGAUACCAAAUAAUAUGAAUCCUUAGUUUGAAACAGACUGUGGUUAAAAGCACCCUGUCAAUGAAUGAAGAUCUUUUGAAUAGCAAAUACACAAGCAUUGAGUAUACACAAGCAUUGACACAAGCAUUAAAAGCACCCUGUCUUUGGAAUCUCUCUCCCAGGUAAAUGAACAACAAGCAUUGAGUAUACACAACUCUGAAGAUAACAACAACAUGGG